GCCUCGGUAGUGUAAUGGAUCAGUACGGCGGAUAUCUGUCAGUGCGGGUUCGAGUCCCGCCUGAGGUU
rnacentral:tRNA from 1 species